GGAUUUAAAAUAAAUGUAAAAAAUAUUAGUUUGUGAGUGUUAGUGGAAAUGUCUGUGUGUGUGUCUGUGAGUGUUUAUUUUGAAGUGAAUGUGUGUGUAAUUGUGUGUGUCUGUAAGUGAAUGUGUGUGUGUCUGUGAGUGAAUGUGUGUGUUGGUCAGUGAGUGUAUAUGUGUCAGUCAGUGAGUGUGUAUGUGUCAGUCAGUGAGUGUAUAUGUGUCAGUCAGUGAGUGUGUAUGUGUCAGUCAGUGAGUGUGUAUGUGUCAUCAGUGAGUGUGUAUGUGUCGUCAGUGAGUGUGCGUCUGUCAGUGAGUGAGCGUCUGUCAGUCAAAG